rnacentral:rRNA from 1 species
GUCCACGCCGUAAACGGUGAGAGCUCGUCGUAGUGGGUAUUGACCCCUGCUGUGACCAAGUUAACGCAUGAAGCUCUCCGCCUGGGAAGUACGGUCGCAAGACUAAAACUCAAAGAAAUUGACGGGGGCCCGCACAAGCGGUGGAGCAUGUUGUUUAAUUCGAAGCAACGCGCAGAACCUUACCUGGAUUUGACAUCUCGGGAAUCUUCCUGAAAAGGAAGAGUGCCUUCGGGAACCCGAUGACAGGUGCUGCAUGGCU